GGUCAGUCAAAUAGGACUUCCACAAAACUUUUGAACCCCUGCUCUGAUCUGGGUGAUUUUUGGAUAUGUUGUUCACCCAGAUCAGGGAUGUAUAAUUUGUGGGGAUAUGUGGUGUUUUGUGAAAAAUGUGUGUUUUCUGCCCGUUGGUAAUUGAGUUAGUCCAUUGUGUUUGUUAAUUGUAUCACAGGCAGAGGGGAGGGCUUGUGUACAUUAUCUGGGAGUGUCUAACUGUGAUUGGCUUUGUAACUUUGUAUCCUGUGUUCCACAAGGUCCACGUGGGUGGUAACCUUGUGAGAAAACCUGUAUAAAAGAGACAAACCCUCAGACUGCUGAGUUCUGUGGGUGGGUGGUAACCUUGUGGGAAAACCUGUAUAAAAGAGACAAACCCUCAGACUGCCUCGUCUCAUGUGUGGGGGAAAAGGCUCCAUCUACACUGGGGAUUGCUAUACGCUGUAUACUCCCCUGGCUAUAAUCACUAAGCUCUUUUAAAAGCUUGUUCCUGCUUCGCUCUCUGAAGGAAGAGAGGUUACCCACUGUAGCCUUGUCGUAGGUCCAGGGUGGAUAGGAGACGGCGAGACCCCAACCAGCAGCGGCGGUUUGUGGGGUCUGCGUUGCUUAUGGGGUCAGGUGGAGUGCUUGGAGCCCUCGGGAAGCACUAGGAGCAUCCAUCAACGGAGGUACCCAGUCAGGGUGCCAGGUGAUCCGUUACAACCCCAUUCUACAAAAACAUUGUCC